UUGGCAGAACCCCACUCUAAACAAUACCCCUUUCUUACACUAUCUAUAUGAAUAUUUCUAAUGUCUGACUAUUUCCUUUCAGUGUACUGAGGACUCACCAAUCCGCACCACCAGCAACAAAGCAAUCUGACAAUCAGACUGGACCCGGUCAUGUUAGAUACCAGUGGAAGGAGAUGAACAUACAAUUGACUCCGCAUCGAUGCAUGACUUCGCCCGGAACGCGGCAAGAACCAACAAUGGAAGAAAAACUACAGACGUGUUUAUUAACAAUAAAGUUAUUUUUGUUUUUAUGAAAUAGCGAUUGAAUAAAAAUAUUAGGUAUAUGA